GGGCGUUGUCACAGAGUCCCAGGUGCACUGUGUCGUUCACUGUAGAAACCCAGUGGAGCGCCCGGGAGCCUGCUGCCCCACCUGUCCAGGCUGCCUGUUCCAAGGUGUGCAGUACGGCGAGGGAGAGGCGUUUUGGCCGGAAGGGAGCAAGUGCACCAAGUGUUCCUGCCUCCAGUAGCUCGGCAACAGUGGCCAGUGUGCAGGGCCGCUGUGGGGACGUCUGCCUGAGAAUGCCGGGUUCCCGGGCCUGGCCGGGCUGUGCAGCACCAGGUGCAAAGUGGGCCAGGGCUGUCCAGCUGUGGACCGCGGGCUCUGGUGGGUGCAGUACGUCGGGGGAGAGGCUGUCCUGCCGAGCCGGAGGACAGAACUGGAGCAUCAGGCUUCAGGAUCUCCACACGGCACAGGAAGGAAUACAGCAACCUGCAGUGCUCUGAUGAAAAGGAAAACAUUAACGCAGCAGAGAGAGAUGCAAGCACACUGUGCCUUUGAGUAGGACGCUGUCCCUCGUCACCUCCCGGGGAUUGGUGUCAGGACCCACCACGGACAUCGAUGCCCACAGACCAAGUCCCUGUCCUUCUGUCCUAUGCCUGUCUAACCUGCACACUUCCCUCCUGAGGACUUUAAGUCACCCUAGAUUGCUUGCAAUACUAAAACAGCGCAGCUGCUGUGUAUUUGUUGUGCUCUAUCGUUUAGGAAGUGAUGACAAGAAAAAAAAUCUAUGUGCCGAGUACAGACAAGUAUUUUCCAAAUAUUCUCGGUCUGUGAGUGGUUGACCCCAUAGGUGUGGAACCCAUGGAUAUGGAAGCCAGCUCCGUUAUAUGGACCUGUAUUUGUGUGUACGUGUGUCUGUGAGUGCGUGUGGACACACGUCUGCACGUAUGACCCAAAUAUGGUCAAAAUGAGUGAUGAACAGUAAAGCACACAUCACCAUCGAUCCUGUUCGCGACCCUCCCUCUCUUCAGACGCACUUAGCUCAUCGUUCCUGCCAUUUUCUGAAGCGGUUCUGAAAGUCUUCUUUCACGAGUGUCUUUCUGCGGUGUGGGUAUAAACACCGUGAAUGCUGCUGCGGAGUGCCGUCCCACGGACAGGUACACACAUAGCAACGUGCUGGUGAGUCCUCAUCCACCUCCCUCAUCACCUCUGGUACUGCGAGACUGCUGGCUCUUCCUCAAAGUCAAAAUAAGCAUAAAAGGGGAAGGUUUUGAAUGGACUCGGGACAUUGGGGCAGCCACAGCAGCAAUGAAGGAUACUCGGGACAGAGGACUUGCAGAACUGCUUCAGAAAGUGCAGUACAAAGUGCGUUCAAAGUGAGGGGAGUGUUGCCGAGGAUUAAUAGCCACGCGUCUUCUACUGUCAUGAAUUUUUAAGAGUCGGAACAUUUACUGUAUAGUUUGAUCACACUUUGUGCAAGUAUAUGCAAAUAUAUAAACAUUUAAACAUAAAUAUAUAAAAAAUAUGCGUAUAUAUGACUAUAAGUACACAAGCACCAUUAAUGUGUCUCAGCUGGAUCUCUCUAGACACAGACCCUGAGACAAGCAUCUGCGUGUGAGUGCCCUGUGGGGGCCGGAGAGGUGGACAGAAGACUUCAGCUGAGAGUAGGAAGGGCGGAGCCAGCGGAGGGCCUGUGAGGAGGAGCCGGGAUCUGGUGUCCUCCGGGAUCAUGUUGGGACUUGGUCACCUGGUGCAGUGUUAAGAGGCGGCCCUUUCAGAAGGAUCUGCUCUCACGGGUGGAUUCCUGCCCUCCUAAGGGCUGGAGGGAGGAGUCCGGACCUUCUAGGACACAGCCGCAGGCACCAUUCUCAGAGAGGAGCGGCGCCCAGACACCAGGCUGGCUGGCGCUUUGGCGGCAGGCUCCCAGCCUUCACAACUGCAGCGGACCUAGUACUGAUGGUGUGUAAAGCCCGCCGAAGGGAGUUAACCCCCCAGUUGCUUGUUUAUGGGAGUCUGGUUGAAGCCUAUAUGCCAAGGUCAGAGUAGCUGGUAUCUAUGUGUUGUUUUUAUAACUAAAGUCCUCUCGACCAGAAGGAUAGUGUUUUAACUACAGCUGUAUAUUUUGACUAUUCUGUUCCUAAUUCGGGAAUGCUUUGUCCUGUCCUUUAUGAGCCCUGUUGACACUGAUUUCCACAGAGACUGCACGGAGCUCACCUUUACCACAGUUGAUGGCCAGUAACUGUGCGUAGGACUGGCCAGGGCCUUUGUGGGUGGCACCGGCCUUGGUCGUCCCGCCCCGCUUACCCUCUCCUGGUUCUGCCUCUGAGUGUCUUUCUUUCCUCAGGCCUGCGUCCUGUGCCGGGCAGGUGGGGACUGGACCUGACUGCAGGGGGCCGUGGCACCGAACUGUGAGCAGGAAACUCCUGCUCUUCGCAGAUCGCCCGGCUGUGGUAUUUCGUGAUGGCAGCACCCAGGGACCGAGACACUGACCGCGCUGUCGCUGUGGUGGCCGGGUCUCCUUCCUGCUGGGCAGACUCUGGAGGCUGGGUCAGGCCUCUGGGCUCUGAACCUUCCCACCCAGAGGAGAGCUGAGACGCGUGUGCGCCCCCUGGAGGGCUGCUGGGGGCGGGGUGCUGGGCAGGCCCGCUUGGCCGCUCUUGUGCUAGACUUGCAGGGCCUCAGGCAAGCACUGCCUGGGUUGUUUCCCUCCUGUGGUGUUGGUGUGGCCGGGCCCAGCCUUGCUCGCCAUCCUGCUGAGCCCAGGGUGAGCAGGUAGCAGGGUCCCUCGGCGCACGCGCUUCACGUCCCGCGGUGCUGGGCACAGCACACAGCAUCCCAGAAGGCUGGGGACACGCAGGGCUGUGAGUGCUGGAGCCCCACAGCCUCUGCUCCUGCCCGCGGGCAGCCUUGUCCUGCAGGGUCAGUGCCUGUCACCUGACUCCCUGGGACGCGCAGCACUUUGUUAUCGCUUGUUAAACCGUGGCGUCCCCAUUCCCACAGUGCAGAAAUAAAGCCCAGAGUUUUCCUCCGCCUGCUCUGCCGCUGCUCCCUGGAGCUGUCUGUGUGGGGCCCGGGGGCGUUUGUUAGGGACGAGCUCAGGACGCGCGCUGUGGCU